GAUGAACGCUGGCGGCAGGCUUAAUACAUGCAAGUCGAACGGUAACACGGAUAGCAAUAUCUGGUGACGAGUGGCGCACGGGUGCGUAACGCGUAUGCAACCUACCUUCAAUUAGAACAUAACGUUGAGAAAUUGGCGCUAAUAUUCUAUAAGGAUAAGAUGUGGCAUCAUAUUUUAUUUAAAGAUUUAUUGAUUGAGGAUGGGCAUGCGUAUCAUUAGCUAGUUGGUAGGGUAACGGCUUACCAAGGCGACGAUGAUUCGGGGUUCUGAGAGGAUAUCCCCCCACACUGGAACUGAGACACGGUCCAGACUCCUACGGGAGGCAGCAGUAGGGAAUAUUGGGCAAUGGAGGCAACUCUGACCCAGCCAUGCCGCGUGAAGGAAGACGGUCCUAUGGAUUGUAAACUUCUUUUAUCAUAGAGUAACCAUAGAUACGUGUAUCUAUCUGCAAGUAUAUGAUGAAUAAGCAUCGGCUAACUCCGUGCCAGCAGCCGCGGUAAUACGGAGGAUGCAAGCGUUAUCCGGAUUUAUUGGGUUUAAAGGGUGCGCAGGCGGAUCGGUAAGUCAGGGGUGAAAUUUUACUGCUUAACAGUAAGACUGCCUUUGAUACUGCCGGACUAGAGUUUAAUUGACGUUGCCGGAAUGUGAUGUGUAGCGGUGAAAUGCAUAGAUAUGUCACAGAACGCCGAUCGUGAAGACAGGUAACGAAAUUAAUACAGACGCUCAUGCACGAAAGCGUGGGGAUCAAACAGGAUUAGAUACCCUGGUAGUCCACGCUGUAAACGAUGAUCACUCGUUGUUGGGCAGCGAUGCUCRGUGGCCAAGCGAAAGCGAUAAGUGAUCCACCUGGGGAGUACGAUCGCAAGGUUGAAACUCAAAGGAAUUGACGGGGGCCCGCACAAGCGGAGGAGCAUGUGGUUUAAUUCGAUGAUACGCGAGGAACCUUACCCGGGCUUGAAUUGCAGCGGAAUGAUUAGGAAACUUAUCAGCCUUCGGGCCGCUGUGAAGGUGCUGCAUGGUUGUCGUCAGCUCGUGCCGUGAGGUGUUAGGUUAAGUCCUGCAACGAGCGCAACCCUUACACUUAGUUGCCAGCAUGUAAUGAUGGGGACUCUAGGUGAACUGCCUACGCAAGUAGAGAGGAAGGUGGGGAUGACGUCAAAUCAGCACGGCCCUUAUGUUCGGGGCUACACACGUGCUACAAUGGUCGGUACAGAGGGCUGCUACCACGCAAGUGGAUGCUAAUCUCAAAAGCCGAUCUCAGUUCGGAUCGGAGUCUGUAACUCGACUCCGUGAAGUUGGAUUCGCUAGUAAUCGCACAUCAGCCAUGGUGCGGUGAAUACGUUCCCGGGCC
rnacentral:rRNA from 1 species